GAUGAAGAACGUAGCGAAAUGCGAUAAGUAAUGUGAAUUGCAGAAUUCAGUGAAUCAUCGAAUCUUUGAACGCACAUUGCGCCCGCCAGUAUUCUGGCGGGCAUGCCUGUUCGAGCGUCAUUUCAACCAUCAAGCCCCCCGGCUUGUGUUGGGGACCUGCGGCUGCCGCAGGCCCUGAAAAGCAGUGGCGGGCUCGCUGUCACACCGAGCGUAGUAGAUCUCAUCUCGCUCAGGGCGUACUGCGGGUUCCGGCCGUUAAACCACCUUCAUAACCCAAGGUUGACCUCGGAUCAGGUAGGAAGACCCGCUGAACUUAAGCAUAUCAAUAAGCGGAGGA
rnacentral:misc_RNA from 1 species